rnacentral:piRNA from 1 species
UGGAUACGUGCAAGGUCGCUGAGGCAGUGCUA